rnacentral:rRNA from 1 species
CCCCUAGAUGUUCUGGGCCGCACGCGCGCUACACUGAACAGUUCAACAAGUCUUAACCUUGGCCGAUAGGUCUGGGUAAUCUUUGAACGCUGUUCGUGAUUGGGAUAGACCUUUGCAAUUAUGGGUCUUCAACGAGGAAUUCCUAGUAAACGCAAGUCAUCAGCUUGCAUUGAUUACGUCCCUGCCCUUUGUACACACCGCCCGUCGCACCUACCGAUUGAAUGGUCCGGUGAAAUCUCGGGACGGCGGCUUGGUCGCUUGCGUCCGACUGCUGAAACUUGAUUAAACCAUAUCAUUUAGACGAAGGUGAAGUCGUAACA